UGGGGAAUAUUGGACAAUGGGCGCAAGCCUGAUCCAGCCAUGCCGCGUGAGUGAUGACGGCCUUAGGGUUGUAAAGCUCUUUUCUCCGGGACGAUAAUGACGGUACUGGAGGAAUAAGCCCCGGCUAACUUCGUGCCAGCAGCCGCGGUAAUACGAAGGGGGCUAGCGUUGCUCGGAAUCACGGGGCGUAAAGGGCGCGUAGGCGGCGUUUUAAGUCGGGGGUGAAAGCCUGUGGCUCAACCACAGAAUGGCCUUCGCUACUGGGACGGUUGAGUCUGGUAGGGGUUGGUGGAACUGAGAGUGUAGAGGUGAAAUUCGUAGAUAUUCGCAAGAACACCGGUGGCGAAGGCGGCCAACUGGACAAGUACUGACGCUGAGGCGCGAAAGCGUGGGGAGCAAACAGG
rnacentral:rRNA from 1 species